rnacentral:rRNA from 1 species
AACGAACGCUGGCGGCAUGCCUAACACAUGCAAGUCGAACGAGACCUUCGGGUCUAGUGGCGCACGGGUGCGUAACGCGUGGGAAUCUGCCCUUGGGUUCGGAAUAACAGUUAGAAAUGACUGCUAAUACCGGAUAAUGACGUAAGUCCAAAGAUUUAUCGCCCAAGGAUGAGCCCGCGUAGGAUUAGCUUGUUGGUGAGGUAAAGGCUCACCAAGGCGACGAUCCUUAGCUGGUCUGAGAGGAUGAUCAGCCACACUGGGACUGAGACACGGCCCAGACUCCUACGGGAGGCAGCAGUGGGGAAUAUUGGACAAUGGGCGAAAGCCUGAUCCAGCAAUGCCUCGUGAGUGAUGAAGGCCUUAGGGUUGUAAAGCUCUUUUACCCGGGAUGAUAAUGACAGUACCGGGAGAAUAAGCCCCGGCUAACUCCGUGCCAGCCGCCGCGGUAAGAC